GAUGAACGCUGGCGGCAUGCCUAAUACAUGCAAGUCGAGCGAACAGACGAGGAGCUUGCUCCUCUGACGUUAGCGGCGGACGGGUGAGUAACACGUGGAUAACCUACCUAUAAGACUGGGAUAACUUCGGGAAACCGGAGCUAAUACCGGAUAACAUGUUGAACCGCAUGGUUUAACAGUGAAAGACGGUCUUGCUGUCACUUAUAGAUGGAUCCGCGCCGCAUUAGCUAGUUGGUAAGGUAGCGGCUUACCAAGGCAACGAUGCGUAGCCGACCUGAGAGGGUGAUCGGCCACACUGGAACUGAGACACGGUCCAGACUCCUACGGGAGGCAGCAGUAGGGAAUCUUCCGCAAUGGGCGAAAGCCUGACGGAGCAACGCCGCGUGAGUGAAGAAGGUCUUCGGAUCGUAAAACUCUGUUAUUAGGGAAGAACAAAUGUGUAAGUAACUAUGCACGUCUUGACGGUACCUAAUCAGAAAGCCACGGCUAACUACGUG
rnacentral:rRNA from 1 species